AGAACGAACGCUGGCGGCAGGCUUAACACAUGCAAGUCGAGCGCCCCGCAAGGGGAGCGGCAGACGGGUGAGUAACGCGUGGGAAUCUGCCCAUCUCUACGGAACAACUCCGGGAAACUGGAGCUAAUACCGUAUACGUCCUUCGGGAGAAAGAUUUAUCGGAGAUGGAUGAGCCCGCGUUGGAUUAGCUAGUUGGUGGGUAAUGGCCUACCAAGGCGACGAUCCAUAGCUGGUCUGAGAGGAUGAUCAGCCACAUUGGGACUGAGACACGGCCCAAACUCCUACGGGAGGCAGCAGUGGGGAAUAUUGGACAAUGGGCGAAAGCCUGAUCCAGCAUGCCAGUGAGUGAUGAAGGCCCUAGGUUGUAAAGCGUCUUUCAAACGGUGAAAGGAUAAUGAACGGUAACCGUAGAAGAAGUCCCCGGACUAACUUUCGUGCCCAAGCCAGUCCCGC
rnacentral:rRNA from 1 species